GGAUGUGGGGGUGAUCUGGCUGGGUAGGUAGGUGCCCUGUUUCUCCCUCCCCCCUCCAUGUGCAUCCUUCCUUAAGCGCACGGGGUCAAAGAGGAAGACCUUCCUCAAACAGAAGAGGACCAGGCAUUAUCAG
rnacentral:snRNA from 1 species